rnacentral:rRNA from 1 species
AGGAAAAGAAACUAACAAGGAUUCCCCUAGUAACGGCGAGUGAAGCGGGAAGAGCUCAAAUUUAAAAUCUGGCAGUGUAUUCUGUCCGAGUUGUAGUCUAGAGAAGCAUCAUCCGUGCUGGACCAUGUACAAGUCUCUUGGAACAGAGCGUCAUAGAGGGUGAGAAUCCCGUCCUUGACAUGGACUCCCAGUACUUUGUGUUGUGCUCUCAACGAGUCGAGUUGUUUGGGAAUGCAGCUCAAAAUGGGUGGUAAAUUCCAUCUAAAGCUAAAUAUUGGCGAGAGACCGAUAGCGAACAAGUACCGUGAGGGAAAGAUGAAAAGCACUUUGGAGAGAGAGUUAAACAGUACGUGAAAUUGUUGAAAUGGAAACGCUUGAAGUCAGUCGCGUUCUCUGGGAUUCAGCCUGGCUUUUGCUUGGUGCAUUUCCCGGUCUACGGGCCAGCAUGAAUUUUGACCAAUGGAAAAAGGCUUGGGGAAUGUGGCACCUUCGGGUGUGUUAUAGCCCUUUGUCACAUACGUUGGUUGGGAUUGAGGUCUUAGUGCACGCUUCGGUUGUGCUUUGAUGCUGGCGUAAUGGCUUUAAACGACCCGUCUUGAAACACGGACCAAGGAGUCUAACAUGUCUGCAAGUGUUUGGGUGCAAAACCCGAGCGCGAAAUGAAAGUGAUAGUUGGGAACCUCUUUAGAGGGGCACCGACGCCCGGACCAGACCUUCUGUGACGGAUCCGAGGUAGAGCAUAUAUGUUGGGACCCGAAAGAUGGUGAACUAUGCCUGCAUAGGGUGAAGCCAGAGGAAACUCUGGUGGAGGCUCGUAGCGAUUCUGACGUGCAAAUCGAUCGUCAAAUGUGGGUAUAGGGGCGAAAGACUAAUCGAACCAUCUAGUAGC